UACGAAGGGAGCUAGCGUUGUUCGGAAUCACUGGGCGUAAAGCGCACGUAGGCGGAUUUGUCAGUCAGGGGUGAAAUCCCGGGGCUCAACCUCGGAACUGCUUUUGAUACAGCAAGUCUUGAGUUCGAGAGAGGUGGGUGGAAUUCCUAGUGUAGAGGUGAAAUUCGUAGAUAUUAGGAAGAACACCGGUGGCGAAGGCGGCCCACUGGCUCGAUACUGACGCUGAGGUGCGAAAGCGUGGGGAGCAAACAGG
rnacentral:rRNA from 1 species